rnacentral:rRNA from 1 species
GACGAACGCUGGCGGCGUGCUUAACACAUGCAAGUCGAGCGGUAAGGCCCUUUCGGGGGUACGACGAGCGGCGAACGGGUAGGAGUAACACGUGGGUGGACCUCGCCCUCCAGCUCUGGGAGUAAGCCUGGGAAACGUAGGGUCGUAAUAACCGGAUAUGACUCCAUGACGCAUGUUGUGGGGUGGAAAGCCUUGUGCGGCUGAGGAU